AGCGAACGCUGGCGGCAGGCCUAACACAUGCAAGUCGAGCGCCCAGCAAUGGGAGCGGCAGACGGGAUAGUAACACGUGGGAACGUACCUUUCAGUUCGGAACAACCCAGGGAAACUUGGGCUAAUACCGAAUACGUCCGUAAGGAGAAAGAUUUAUCGCUGAAAGAUCGGCCCGCGUCUGAUUAGCUAGUUGGUGAGGUAAUGGCUCACCAAGGCGACGAUCAGUAGCNGGUCUGAGAGGAUGAUCAGCAUCACUGGGGACUGAGACACGGCCCAGACUCCUACGGGA
rnacentral:rRNA from 1 species